AGUUGAAAACUGAAACGGCAGGCCCGAAAACGAAUGAUUAAUUUUUGCGAAUCCACCAUUUUCGAAGAAACGUCUGGUCAUGAGCUUUAGAGAGAGAGAGUUUCUGGAUUCGAGUUUAGUGAGAGAAAGUUUUCGGAUUCUAUAAUGAUUUCAACUUUCAAGCACAUGUUUCUGGAAGAAAAAAGAAUAUUCCAAUUGUCAUCAUAACUUCAGUGCCCACUUUGGUUUGGUCGGGGAAGGGAAACACUUUUUUGGGAUUCAAAUGGUUGGUUUCAUUUGGAAUCUCUAGUGGUUCUCAAUGAUGAGGAAGCUGUGUCUUGUGGUAUGAUCACUGAGAUUGAACGUGAUGGGGGAACAAGGAGCAUAAGUUCUGUCAUCUUCAAUAGUGUUGUACUUUUUUUUAUCAUUGUAAUAAUUUUCCAUCAUUUCGUGAAAUUUAUGUCUCUUGGGAGGUUCUUGAUUUGUUUGAUUUUGGAGCCUAAUCCUUCGGGGAGUUUUCAUUGAAGCCCAUGCUAAGGUUUUAUAACUUUUUGGCAAAUGAAGCGUGGUAUUCUUAUCA